rnacentral:rRNA from 1 species
UACGUAGGGGGCAAGCGUUGUCCGGAAUCAUUGGGCGUAAAGAGCGCGUAGGCGGCCCUGUAAGUCCGCUGUGAAAGUCAAGGGCUCAACCCUUGGAUGCCGGUGGAUACUGCAGGGCUAGAGUCCGGAAGAGGCGAGUGGAAUUCCUGGUGUAGCGGUGAAAUGCGCAGAUAUCAGGAGGAACACCGGUGGCGAAGGCGGGUCUCUGGGCCGUAACUGACGCUGAGGCACGAAAGCGUGGGUAGCAAACAGG